rnacentral:lncRNA from 1 species
AUCUGAAAGGAACAAAUCAAAUGUAAUAUCACUGCAGCGACUGCAUAUUGAUUCUUCAAAUUGGAAAACAUUGUCAUAGAAACUAGUACAAAAAGUUCAUCAUUUUUACAUAUUAAGAACAUUUAGGUACAUGCUGGGAGCAUCUAGAGGUAGGGAGGGAGCUGCUCCAACUCCGCGAGAAAGCAGCCUAAUUCAGCUCAUCUCACCUUUUCUUUUUCUGCCCAGCAUAGGCAUUUCCAGCAGCUUUCUUCUGCCCAGCAACAUUUCCAGUGGCUUUCUUCUGCCCAGCAACAUUUCCAGUGGCUUUCUUCUGCCCAGUUUUAGCGUUUCCAGUGGCCUUCGUCUGCCCAGCAUGUGCUGUUCUGUUUCCAGUCCGAACUGC